ensembl:lncRNA
ACCUGUUGUGGGGAAGGCCCUUUCUGUAGCCGCUUAAGUGUGAGAAGGGAGAUGGGCAGGGUCAGCCAUUCAAGUGCAGCCUGGGGGUGGGGGGAGGCACAGGUGAUAGGGAUGUGUCUUUGAAAGGAUAGAGGUAGAUGGACAAGGGAGGGAAAGUGAUUCGAUUCAGGACCUAGACUCUGGGUUCCUGUAGCCUCAGGGUGGGAAGGACCUCCUGGUCCAGACCGUCUGUAAAAUGGGGACACUUGGGCUCAGGGAGGGGAAAGAAUUCACUCAAAGUCACACAGCUGGGCAGUAGCAGAGCAAGGAUUUGAUCCCUGGGAGGGGGUCACUAGGUAUCUAGAUGAAGGGGCACAGGGAGCUGGGACAAAACCAGACACACACUCUGGCCAGGGGCCAGCCCUGUAUGGACUGCAUGUGAAUCUAAGAUUGAGCUUUCCCAAAGCAAUCUGGGAAUAUAAAACCCCAGGAGGCCUCUGCAGGCCAGUGAGAGGCCCCGCUCCCUGGAAACAGCAAGCUGUAAAAAGCCGGCUGAUGGGCGGCCUGGUUUAUGUAUGUUUGAGCACGUAGACUGACCCCAGGGCAUUAAGCACCCACGCCAACACAAUGCCUGCAAAUCGUCCUUCCACUCAGCACAGGUCAGCUCACCAAGGCCAUGGCCAGUGUCUCCAGUGGCCAGUGCCUGGGCAGCAGGUUACACCCAUAUCCACCCAGUUCAACCCAGGGCAGGGCCGAUUAAUCACAGGCCACGUGAGGGAGAAGGGAUCUUAAAGAGCAUUUACCAGCCUCACGCCUAUCUCCACCAAAUGCUGGAAUUCCUCCCAUCUUAGGGUUGCUUGGCCACAGCCCGAACUCCUCCUGAGACAGCUCCCAGACCCACGUGGUUGCCCACUCCAAGCCUGGGCAGCGCUGACCACGUUCUUCCUCGGAUUCAGCCAGAAUCACCUCCUCGACCCUCAUUGUGUUUCCUGCCAGUUGGUCCUCAUUCUGUCCCUGGAAACCACAUGGAAUGAAUCCUUCCUCUUCUCCAUACCUACUUUUUAACUGGUUAAACACAGUGACCAGCACCUCUGAACGCCCUCUGUUCCGGGAUGAACAUCCUGGCUCUCACAACCAGUUCCCAUACGACCGGACUCCAGUCCUUCACCCAGCUCCCCACUCCCGCCCUCUGUCCUGGUUCUUUUCUACUAAACUCUCUCCACUUGAUUAAUUGUGGCUCCCCAAGAUGGAACGUAACAUUCAGGCUGAAGGCCAACAUCUCAAAUCCUCCUCCUUCUAGAGACCUAAGAAGGUGGCUCCUCCACAUGCCCCUUCUCCUUCCUGUCCUCUGUGUUUGGACAUGCUGAUCUGAGCUUCAGAGACCCAGACAGAAAGGCCGCACUCGUUCAGAGAGAGCAAAGCAAUGGGCACCUGUGCUCAUCAUGAAACAAAGAUCCAGGCUCUGCCUGAUUGCCUCCAGGGUUGUGAGGCUCACUACCAUUCAAGGCAGCUCAUUUCUUCCUAUCAACAGCUCUGAACAGAGAAGAAUCUUCCUUAUAUUGAACCCUGAUGUUUUCAUCAUCACUGGAAAUGUUAAUAGAUUGCAUGGUGCAAAGGAGUUCCUUUAUUGGGCUAGAACGGGGUGCUGGGCAGUGGGAGGGUCAUGGCACACAGGGGUCUGAUACACACAGGAGGUUCUCUGACGCUCAUCCUUGGAUGGACUGUGUUCCACCUAAACGCUCCUGGGCACGUCGCCAGGCCAAUAACUUAUUAGAGCGAUAAUACCAUUCCCAAAGAUGGACGGUCUACAGAAUUUCAUUGAUGCCAUCUCCUCUUCUCCUGUCCUACAAAUCAACUGAACUAAGGCUUGAACUAAACUUGAACUAAGGCUGAAUUUGAACUUGAGCUUGAAGGGACAACAACUCAGACAUAGACAUUUUCCAUUUCUCUUUUGGUGUCACCGUGAACAUAAAUUGCUAGGGGUUUGGAACCAGGAGGAGACCCAACUCUCUGCCUUCUGUCCAAGAUAAGCAGGCCUUGGUCCGGUGGUCCCUACUGUGGAGGGGGGAGAGGGGAGAGCCCUGGACUGUGGGGCCUGUGAAGGGAGGACAGUGCUGUGGGAGAGGCCUCCCGAGAAGACGCAUCCUGCAUCCCUGUUAUCUCCCGGCAUCCUCUGUUGACGUCCUUCGUUCCAGCGUCUCCUCUGUGACAGGUGGCACUAUUCUUGGUUAUGCUCUGGGGUGUGCAGGCAAUGGAGUGGACACCACCUCGCCCUCAUGGUGUGCCAACCACAAGGGGACCCUUCAAAGCUGAACAGAGCUUCAGUCUGCAAC